ensembl:lncRNA
CUGACUGCGAGUCAGAGAGCAGUGAUUGGUCAGACCAUAGAUAAUAUAGAAGACAGCGCGCUAGCGUAUCUAGUCUGUGUGUAUCUAUGGUCGGAACGUCUGGUAGCAUCUCUGGCUGCUGUUGACCUUGUUUUUGGAGUAAAACACGGUGGAAGCUGAAUUAGUGAGGAUGACUCCUGCUCCUGUCAUCUCUAAGCUCCUCACACAUCUUUACCUGCACAUGAGGAAAAUCACUCCUGUAGAAUGCAGAUGUUCAGAGGGAGAUGAUGCCACAUCUGGUCCAGCUGAUGGAAGGUCUUGAAGUUCUCUGACUGGCCUCAACUGAAGAUGGUCGUCUCACUGGAUUUAAGGUUCAGAUGCUCAGUAACAAACUCCACCAAUGAGCCAACAGGGAAGCUUUAGGUUUAUUAAAUGUUGCUAUGAAGGUAUCGCUGUUUUUCUUUGUGAAUGCAAUGUGCUCCAACUGAAACUUGAAUUAGAACUUAGAAGUAAAUCCUUCCAUCUGACAGGAUUUAGUUGCAUUAAUAACCUCAUAACAUUCUAAUUUUUAUUCCAGUCUUGGUUGGAAAUAGAAUCUCUGUAUUGAUUCAGGUAAAAACUGAACUUCACAGCAUGUUGGAGCAAAACAACCAGAUGAAAACUGAUGGUGUUGGAUUGUCAGACUGUAAUGUUGCAGCUCACAGCAGCUUUUCUAGCUCAGUUCAUUCUGACAUUCAGCUAUGAAUCAACACAGCAGAUGGUGAUCCAUGCUGUGGAAGUCUCACAUCUCCUGAUUUAAUGGAGCUGCUUUGCACUUUUUACACUGUUUAUUCACCAACACUUUAUUUAAUAAAAGUCCCAUCUAGUUUUUAUGAGGAAUGUGAUGUUUUAAUUUCUCUGUGAAUAACUGCAGUCUAAUGCAACAGCUGGAGUUGUAACAUCUGUCCUGAUAUUGAUCAUGAAGUAUUGAUCAGAAUACUUAUGGUUAGCAGUCAUCCCUGUAGUUUUACAUUAAAAUCUUUACUUGUGUUGUGAACUUUGGCAAGAAGCAGAAACGUUAGCGUUGCCAUGGAUACAUGAGUGUUAAAUUCUGUCCAUGUUUCCAUUUUGGGAAAUUCAGUCCAGUUCCAGAAUGUGGAGGAAUUUAGUCUCAAUCACAGACAACAAAUAUUAUCUGAAAGUCGGGUUAUUGUUGUUUAUCAGCACAAUACAAAAAGAUUAAUGUCAGAAAUAUUCCAGUUAAGACUCUAGAAUAUCAUGAUUUAUGUAAAUGUACCUCAAUAAUAUGAAUGUUCAGGUUAAGAUUGUACAGUGAUAUUUAUUAUGUAAGUUUAGCUGAUUAAAGUUUAUGACUCUGCACUAAAAUAUUAUUUAAAUUAACAUCAUUAUUAUAAUAUUUAGAGUCAGACCCUACAGUAUUGAGGUUAAGAAAUCAAAUAUUCUAUAAAAUGUAAAUACACUGAACUCAUUUGGAUAUAUUUAAGUGAGACUCUACAAUAUUAUUUGACACAAAUCUAUCUAAAUCAAAAUUUUAAUACUUUUCACGCCAAACACUUACUGGACUGAUUUAAAUAUUAAAAUCACUCCUUUCUAAUCCUCUGCUGUACGUUCAAACCUGAGGCCUUAAAUAGAAACACACAAGUAUCUGAUUGUAGGAACUUCUGCAGAGUCCUGGUUCCAGAACAUGAUGAUAAAAUUAUAGACAAACUUUAACAAAAGCUGCCUGAGAGUUUACAGGUUUUUAUGUUAGAUUUCUUCAGUAAUUUAUUGAGAGUUAUCAGCAAUAAUCAAGUGAUCAUUUGAUGAACUUCAUUUACUAAAACAUCCAGAAUUGGAGCUCAUAUCUUUGGCAGCUGUAAAGUUUCUGCUCCUUCAAAGUUCACAACACAAUGAAUGAAUUCCUAAAACACUCUCAAUGCUGGAGAGCGUUUGUGAUGCUGAAGCAGUGACCAAUUUUUCUGUUUCUUCUCUGGAGAUGCACAAUGAGGGACGUCUGCAGCGACUGAGAAAGAGUCUCACCACAUCCUGACAUGAGGAAAAAGACUUUAUUGAAGACUACAAUGAGAAAAACUAUCAGACAGCAGACGGCUGCAUUCAAGGUGAGCUCUGAACAUUUGAUCUGGAACAAGAAUUCAAUAACUGCAGCAUGAGCUUCAUUUCAGUCUGUAGCUGCUGAAUUCAUGGAUGAAUCAUCUGGCACUAGAGAAGAAGACCAUCAAACAUCCAUGUCAGCUGAUGGAGGUCCAAGAGUCUCACCGAACAAACAACCUACAGAGUGAAGACCUCGAAUCUGAUUGGACGGCCUCCUAUUCAGCCACAUGUGUGAACAAAUGCCUCUAAGCUGAUUUGUUUUCUAAAAUAAAUCUAGUUUGAGUCCUAAUCUAUGCCUGUGUGUUUGCUUCUUUACACCGCUGUUAACAG